rnacentral:rRNA from 1 species
CGAAGCAACGCGCAGAACCUUACCAGCCCUUGACAUCCCGGUCGCGGUUUCCAGAGAUGGAUUCCUUCAGUUCGGCUGGACCGGUGACAGGUGCUGCAUGGCUGUCGUCAGCUCGUAUCGUGAGAUGUUGGGUUAAGUCCCGCAACGAGCGCAACCCUCGCCCUUAGUUGCCAUCAUUCAGUUGGGCACUCUAAGGGGACUGCCGGUGAUAAGCCGAGAGGAAGGUGGGGAUGACGUCAAGUCCUCAUGGCCCUUACGGGCUGGGCUACACACGUGCUACAAUGGUGGUGACAGUGGGCAGCGAGACCGCGAGGUCGAGCUAAUCUCCAAAAGCCAUCUCAGUUCGGAUUGCACUCUGCAACUCGAGUGCAUGAAGUUGGAAUCGCUAGUAAUCGCGGAUCAGCAUGCCGCGGUGAAUACGUUCCCGGGCCUU